rnacentral:rRNA from 1 species
UACGAAGGGGGCUAGCGUUGCUCGGAAUUACUGGGCGUAAAGCGCACGUAGGCGGCUUCUAAGUCGGGGGUGAAAUCCUGGAGCUCAACUCCAGAACUGCCUUCGAUACUGGAGAGCUUGAGUCCGGGAGAGGUGAGUGGAACUGCGAGUGUAGAGGUGAAAUUCGUAGAUAUUCGCAAGAACACCAGUGGCGAAGGCGGCUCACUGGCCCGGUACUGACGCUGAGGUGCGAAAGCGUGGGGAGCAACA